GCCCCGUUGGUCUAAGAGCGAAGACGCCGGAAACCCCGGAGAUGGGGGUGCAAGUCCCUCACGGGGUCCCA
rnacentral:tRNA from 1 species